AACGAACGCUGGCGGCAUGCCUAACACAUGCAAGUCGAACGAGACCUUCGGGUCUUGUGGCGCACGGGUGCGUAACGCGUGGGAACCUGCCCUUAGGUUCGGAAUAACUCCCCGAAAGGGGUGCUAAUACCGGAUAAUGUCUUCGGACCAAAGAUUUAUCGCCUUUGGAUGGGCCCGCGUUGGAUUAGCUAGUUGGUAGGGUAAAAGCCUACCAAGGCGACGAUCCAUAGCUGGUCUGAGAGGAUGAUCAGCCACACUGGGACUGAGACACGGCCCAGACUCCUACGGGAGGCAGCAGUGGGGAAUAGUGGACAAUGGGCGAAAGCCUGAUCCAGCAAUGCCGCGUGAGUGAUGAAGGCCUUAGGGUUGUAAAGCUCUUUUAACCGGGAUGAUAAUGACAGUACCGGGAGAAUAAGCCCCGGCUAACUCCGUG
rnacentral:rRNA from 1 species